AGAACGAACGCUGGCGGCAUGCCUAACACAUGCAAGUCGAACGAGACCUUCGGGUCUAGUGGCGCACGGGUGCGUAACGCGUGGGAAUCUGCCCUUGGGUUCGGGAUAACAGUUGGAAACGACUGCUAAUACCGGAUAAUGACUUCGGUCCAAAGAUUUAUUGCCCAAGGAUGAGCCCGCGUAGGAUUAGCUAGUUGGUGAGGUAAAGGCUCACCAAGGCGACGAUCCUUAGCUGGUCUGAGAGGAUGAUCAGCCACACUGGGACUGAGACACGGCCCAGACUCCUACGGGAGGCAGCAGUGGGGAAUAUUGGACAAGUGGGCGAAAGACUGAUCCAGCAAUGCCGCGUGAGUGAUGAAGGCCGUUAGGUUGUAAAGUCGUCGUUUUACCCGGGAUUGAAUAUAGACAGUACCGGAGAA
rnacentral:rRNA from 1 species